GUUCGCUUCAGCGGCCCAUAUACUAAAACUAGAAGGAUGCAGAGAAGAUUAGCACAGCUGCCGCACAAGGACGACACAGCAAAUUGGUGAAGUGUUCCAUAUUUUU